rnacentral:rRNA from 1 species
CGAGGAGCUUGCUUCUCUGACGUUAGCGGCGCACUGGUGAGUAACACGUGGAUAACCUACCUAUAAGACUGGGAUAACUUCGGGAAACCGGAGCUAAUACCGGAUAAUAUAUUGAACCGCAUGGUUCAAUAGUGAAAGACGGUUUUGCUGUCACUUAUAGAUGGAUCCGCGCCGCAUUAGCUAGUUGGUAAGGUAGCGGCUUACCAAGGCAACGAUGCGUAGCCGACCUGAGAGGGUGAUCGGCCACACUGGAACUGAGACACGGUCCAGACUCCUACGGGAGGCAGCAGUAGGGAAUCUUCCGCAAUGGGCGAAAGCCUGACGGAGCAACGCCGCGUGAGUGAUGAAGGUCUUCGGAUCGUAAAACUCUGUUAUUAGGGAAGAACAAAUGUGUAAGUAACUAUGCACGUCUUGACGGUACCUAAUCAGAAAGCCACGGCUAACUACGUGCCAGCAGCCGCGGUAAUACGUAGGUGGCAAGCGUUGUCCGGAAUUAUUGGGCGUAAAGCGCGCGCAGGCGGAUAGGCCAGUCUGUCUUAAAAGUUCGGGGCUUAACCCCGUGAUGGGAUGGAAACUGCCAAUCUAGAGUAUCGGAGAGGAAAGUGGAAUUCCUAGUGUAGCGGUGAAAUGCGUAGAUAUUAGGAAGAACACCAGUGGCGAAGGCGACUUUCUGGACGAAAACUGACGCUGAGGCGCGAAA